rnacentral:rRNA from 1 species
UCGGGAAUUUUGGGCAAUGGGCGAAAGCCUGACACAGCAACGCCGCGUGAAGGAUGAAGUCCCUCGGGAUGUAAACUUCGUAAGAAUAGGAAGAAUAAAUGACGGUACUAUUUGUAAGGUCCGGCUAACUACGUGCCAGCAGCCGCGGUAAUACGUAGGGACCAAGCGUUGUUCGGAUUUACUGGGCGUAAAGGGUGCGUAGGCGGCAUAUCAAGUCACUUGUGAAAUCUCCGGGCUUAACUCGGAACUGCCAAGUGAUACUGAUGUGCUAGAGUGCAGAAAGGGCAACUGGAAUUCUUGGUGUAGCGGUGAAAUGCGUAGAUAUCAAGAGGAACACCUGAGGCGAAGGCGAGUUGCUAGGCUGACACUGACGCUGAGGUGCGAAAGCGUGGGGAGCAAA